rnacentral:rRNA from 1 species
UGAACGCUGGCGGCGUGCCUAAUACAUGCAAAUCGAGCGAACAGAUGAGGAGCUUGCUCCUCUGACGUUAGCGGCGGACGGGUGAGUAACACGUGGAUAACCUACCUAUAAGACUGGGAUAACUUCGGGAAACCGGAGCUAAUACCGGAUAAUAUAUUGAACCGCAUGGUUCAAUAGUGAAAGACGGUUUUGCUGUCACUUAUAGAUGGAUCCGCGCCGCAUUAGCUAGUUGGUAAGGUAACGGCUUACCAAGGCAACGAUGCGUAGCCGACCUGAGAGGGUGAUCGGCCACACUGGAACUGAGACACGGUCCAGACUCCUAAGGGAGGCAGCAGUAGGGAAUCUUCCGCAAUGGGCGAAAGCCUGACGGAGCAACGCCGCGUGAGUGAUGAAGGUCUUCGGAUCGUAAAACUCUGUUAUUAGGGAAGAACAAAUGUGUAAGUAACUAUGCACGUCUUGACGGUACCUAAUCAGAAAGCCACGGCUAACUACGUG